GAUCAAGUUCCCUACAAGGAGCCUUUCUUCCGAGGUGCCACUUGUUUCAUGGGGUAUUUGCUCUGUUCACGUCAGAAAAGGUGAAUCUGUCUGCUUCAUUUAGAGCAUCUGAAAGUAACUCUAAGUGGCUUCUCUCUGGACUGGUAGUGAAAGGCUUCUGAGACUCUACAUAUGCUGGUCUGUAGUUGCACUCCAGUUUUGCCUGGUUUGCUGGAACAUGCUUCAGUCCUACUCUAGGAGGAUUAUUAUUGAUCUGAAACUUCUGUUGUCUCUUCUGAAUCAAAAUUAGUGAAGCUCUACAGAAAGCAAGGAGUUAAUAGCAGUGACACAGCAGAACUGUUUACUGGAACAGGCGAGCUCUCCCAUAGGUGUUCACACUACUUUGUGGAGACCAAAAGAGAAUCAAAACACAGUUCUGUAAUUACACAGGUCAUAUCAAAUAUUUUGUGACAAAACUAAUGUCCUUUAUUAAGCUUUAGAAUGCUUUUCUAUUAGGGAGUCUUCUCUGGAGGUAAAGAUACGCACAGCUGAAUAGGGUUUUGAGCAAUAAAGAUGAUCUCAGACUAAUCAAAUAGUGAAGGAGUUCAAAAAGGAAGGGAACACUGGUGUAAUUCAAAACUCAAUGUAUGUUUUCAAGAUGCAUCUCUGCUGCAACAGUAAAAGUAAUAAGGAUCAACAGUAAUUCUGGCUAGCUUUAUGUGUACUGGAUAUCAACCCAAAACAAAAUUCUUUGAGGGAGAAAAUAAUGGUUUAUAAUAGAAAUGCUGACCGGUCUGGAGCUGUGAUCAGUAAUGCUUCUCUACAGCUUCAUUCUUAACCCUGGGCUACUUUCUGCUGGUGAAAGUAGUUACUGCCAAAAUACUAAUUACUUGAAAGGAGCUGUUAUCACUUUUAGAGGAACUUACUAUUGUUUCUGUAUGCAGUGUUAAAAUAAGUUAACUACUUCAAAAAUAGUAUUAUGAUUGAAAUAGAAAGAAAAUGACAUAAGGAAAAAUUGAAAUACAAGAUCCUUGCUUAAACAGAGCCCUCUCAUCCCUGUAGACAAAUCCGAUCACAUAAAAUCCUGAGCUGAGUUGAGAUUGGACCCCAAGGUUCUCAUUCAGAGUGGUCCCUGAUGGACAGCUUUGCUGGGUUUCGAUGGCAGAGGGAGGCUGCAGUCUCAGCAGGAGUACAAUGAAGCUAAGAGCUCUGCCUCUUCAAUAGAAAGGACAAGCUUUUUCCUUAGCCCUGCAAAAAGGCACAAAGGGCAAAGGACAGACAAUCUCUCUGCUUGCUUCUGUCAAAUGUGUAGGAGGGCUGGAAAAAGACUGAACUACAUUUCCAGGCCCCAGUCUUGCAGCUUAUUAAAUGUCAAAGCACCCUGCCAUCUGAUGAUGGGGUUAGUGGUCUUUCUUAGGGCUGCUUUAAAAGGUUUAUGCACAACAUGCCAUCCUACGAAGAGGUGAGCAGGAACUGUGUACCCUUUCUUUGCCUCUCUCCAAGUAGAGGCAGAAGAGCUCUCUACAGGACAGGACUGUGCACGCCUGCUGCACUCUGAAGAAGGCUAAGAAGCUUUGUGCAUAAUGAUCUCCCACUGGGGAUGUGGAAUUUACCAUCAGUGUGCACUAUAGGCAUUGGCUGUGAUGUGCAGCCUGGCCCACGCAUCCCCAACCGUUAUAAGUGGGAAUCACAUUCAAAGAUACCUGUUGCUCUUAAAAAUCAAUGUGAUUAACAUGCAUUUAUGGCGAUGGCUGUUCAUCUCUUCUGUUUAUCCAUUUUUGUCAGGAGUUUGGGGAAUUACAAAUGGAGCACAUCCCAUAUGCUGCAACUUCUUAAUGGAAAUUGUACAUUUAGUUUUCCAAGGAACCUAGAAGUUCCUUAGAAUGUUUAGAGUGUAAUAGUUGCUCCAUAAUCAUCUUGAGAUUUAGCCCUGCUAUUGCAAGUGAGAUAGUUAUAGACCAAUAUCUAAGAGCUGGAGCAAAAAAUUAUGUAUAGAAAGCUCAGAAAAGAAUUCCCUCUAGUCAUUGCAAAGGUACCAUUAAGACUGGUUCCACCUUGCUGAAAGCCUGGCUAGCAAAGAAUAUUCUGCACCUGCGAUAUCUAAUGUUUGGUUGCUGAGGUUAGAAAAUGGUGAGCUUUUUCUGAGUUACCAAAAGAAAUCAUCAGUCACAUCACAGGUUUCUGACAUGAUGAAGAUGUGUCCUCAUUGCUACCAUGUCUGGUGGAGGAACUGCAGCCCUCGGGCCAGAGAUCUACUGUGGAGUGCAAGGACUAGCUGUACCACAUCAUGGGCAUUCUGCCUACAAUAUCCGCAGGACCCUGCCUUGGGAUUUUACAGAGCUUUUGCAGACCCUAGUUUUAGUGCCCAAAUUUCAUGAGCCCUUUGGGAAGAUGUCCAGCAAGCUCCUGGGAAGACGCUUCUCAGUUUUGUUGUGCACUUCUUCAAUGAUAAUAAUUGCCUUUCAAUUUCUGAGUUUCCGAGAGUGGUCACCUGGCAGCUCCAUAUUUUCAAAGAUAGACAGUGUGGAUGUAGAGACAACUUGUCAGGGGGAGAUGAAGAAAACAGUUGUUUAAGACACCAAUGAAGACCUGCUGAUGCCUUCUGGUAAGCUUUCAUGAAAUGCUGAUUUAUAGGCAUUUCUGCUUAUAUAAAGCAGAUCCUGUCAGUUUCUUUACUUCUCCUGGUAUUUUUAGUAGCCUGAACAUUUGCAUGGAAAUACAGUCUUGGUUGCCUGGGAAAUCUGUAGGUCAUAAGUCACUACUAGCACCCUCCUAAUCCUUCCAUCACAACAGGCUCUGAUACCUGGGACUUGGAUAUAGCACUGACUUAAUGUCUUUUUUGUUUUUAACCAUUGAAUUGCCUGAAUACAAUUCAUAUCCAUAGUGUCUGAAAAAGAGCAACAAUGUUUACUUGUGUUCUUCCCUGUUAUUAAAUGACUGCUUUGGUAAGAAUGUCUUUUCUGUCUUUUGCAUGGAUUUUUGUUCAUGUGAAUGGAAAA